CAGUCCCGCGGGAAUACGAAGGGUGCAAGCGUUACUCGGAAUUACUGGGCGUAAAGCGUGCGUAGGUGGUGGUUUAAGUCCGUUGUGAAAGCCCUGGGCUCAACCUGGGAAUUGCAGUGGAUACUGGAUCACUAGAGUGUGGUAGAGGAUAGUGGAAUUUCCGGUGUAGCAGUGAAAUGCGUAGAGAUCGGAAGGAACAUCUGUGGCGAAGGCGACUAUCUGGGCCAACACUGACACUGAGGCACGAAAGCGUGGGGAGCAAACAGGAUUAGAUACCCGAGUAGUCCCUGUCUCUUAUACA
rnacentral:rRNA from 1 species